rnacentral:rRNA from 1 species
GCCCUUCGGGGUACUCGAGCGGCGAACGGGUGAGUAACACGUGAGCAACCUCCCCUAGGCUUUGGGAUAACCCCGGGAAACCGGGGCUAAUACCGAAUAUGACCUCCGAUCGCAUGGUUGGUGGUGGAAAGUUUUUCGGCCUGGGAUGGGCUCGCGGCCUAUCAGCUUGUUGGUGGGGUGAUGGCCUACCAAGGCGACGACGGGUAGCCGGCCUGAGAGGGCGACCGGCCACACUGGGACUGAGACACGGCCCAGACUCCUACGGGAGGCAGCAGUGGGGAAUAUUGCACAAUGGGCGGAAGCCUGAUGCAGCGACGCCGCGUGAGGGAUGACGGCCUUCGGGUUGUAAACCUCUUUCAGCAGGGACGAAGCGUAAGUGACGGUACCUGCAGAAGAAGCGCCGGCCAACUACGUGCCAGCAGCCGCGGUAAGACGUAGGGCGCGAGCGUUGUCCGGAUUUAUUGGGCGUAAAGAGCUCGUAGGCGGCUUGUCGCGUCGACUGUGAAAACCCGCAGCUCAACUGCGGGCCUGCAGUCGAUACGGGCAGGCUAGAGUUCGGUAGGGGAGACUGGAAUUCCUGAGCGGUGAAAUGCGCAGAUAUCAGGAGGAACACCGGUGGCGAAGGCGGGUCUCUGGGCCGAUACUGACGCU